GGUAUUCAGUAGACGCUCUUAUCCAGUGCGAAUUACACAACUUUCAACAUAGCAUUUACACUGCAUUCAUUUAUACAGCAGGAUAUAUACUGAAGCAAUGCAGGUUAGGUACCUUGCUCAAGGGUACAACGGCAGUGUCCUACCCAGGAAUCUAACCUGUGACCUUUUUAGGUUACAAGACCAGUUCCUUACAGACAGACAGGCAGGCAGACAGACAGACAGACAGUCAGGGGUUCAUUAAGGCAGUGACAUCACCAGGUGACGUUACACACUUUGUAUCUGACUCGGGUCUGACCACAGCUCUGGUAUACUGCUCUGUGCUCAGUGCACGUGUGGGGGUGGACAUAUUUUGGCUGCGCUUGGUUCUCAGUCCGUCCCACACAGCGCGAGUCUGGCCAUGGUGGCCUCGAACAAGCGGGACACGGUCGCAUAAUCACGACCACAGCUCGGUCGGACUGAAUGGCCCGUUGCCGUAACGCGGGUGAGAUCCAACCGCAGCCGCUCUAGCACGAACUGUACGUUUUGUGCUGAGCGAAAGGCCAGUGUUCCCCAGCUAAGGGCACGAAUCGCCGCUUUCAUUGCUUCUCCGGGGAUGACGUCAUGUUCUGUACUGGAAGUUCACGUGCCAACUGACUUCUCCCAGCUGGAGCUGGAGCAGCUUCAACAACAGUUCUGAGUAAAGAAACAUCCACAAAAUGUCGCGCAUGUUGUGCGGGCAACUUUAUCCUGAGUCGCUUAAACGCGAUACAUUUUUACGCAUGCUGUCCAUUUAUAUAACCGCAUUAUUGCAGGAGCAAUUCAAAUUUAAGUCGCAUCCACAGUGAAAUAAUGUGUAAGACAAUGAUGUAGAAACUGCAUUUCAGACAUUUUUUUUAACUGACCGGACGUUAGCUCCGUCAAACUCAGAUUUAUUUAGAUAAAAUAUCGGAAGUGAUGUAGCAUACGUGAAUCUCUCACUGGCAUGAGUGUCCAGUCUUAUCCGAAAAAGGCCGGUGUGGGUGCAGGUUUUUAUUUUAGCCCAGCACUACGACACUUGAGUAAACUAAUUAACUAAUUCUGGUGUUCAGUCGAGACCUUGAUAAGUAGAAUCAGGUGUAUUAGUGCUGGGCUAUAAUGAAAGCUUGCACCCACACUGACCCUUUUGGGAUAAGAUUAGACACCUUUGGCCCUGCCCGAGAGUGAUUUCGCUAGCUUAAGUUAGUUAGGCUACAACUAGGAAGAUGGACCAUUUAAUGGAGACGAAGGAGGUCCAAUAUUAAAUGAAUUACGGACAGGAACGACCACAGUUUGCUAGGCGUCCAAGGGGGACCAGGAACAGGCGAGAAGAAGGAGAACAUGUCGCGUGUUACAGAGCUUGGCACUGCUGGAGGGAGGACCGCCUGUCUGUCUCCAUUAGAGGCUCUCUGUACGCUAAGAUCAUGACUAAAACGCAAGAGAGGAGGAUUCGCCGCCGUUUCCUUUUCCUGCUCUCCGGCUGGAGCCGGAAUCGCAGUCGGGAGUAACGUGUCAGCUCCGGCGUUCAGCGCGCUGUCGGUCAAACAGGAAACCGUGGUGCUUGUCUGGGAACGGGCUGCUGAAGAGGUCUCACUUCCUAACUGGGCCUUUCUCUGGACACUUUACCUGGCUGUUGGUGCUUCAGGCAGUUGGUCGUCUCUCCAGGUUGUCGGAGCUCCAGGUGUCUGGUUGGAGCUCCAGGUGUCCGGGUGGUGCUCCAGGUGUCUGGUUGGUGCUCCAGGUGUCCGGUUGGUGCUCCAGGUGUCUGGUUGGAGCUCCAGGUGUCUGGUUGGUGCUCCAGGUGUCCGGUUGGUGCUCCAGGUGUCUGGUUGGUGCUCCAGGUGUCUGGUUGGUGCUCCAGGUGUCCGGUUGGUGCUCCAGGUGUUCGGUUGAUGCUCCAGGUGUUUGGUUGGUGCUCCAGGUGUUUGGCUGGAGCUCCAGGUGUUCGGUUGAUGCUCCAGGUGUUUGGUUGGUGCUCCAGGGGUCUGGUUGGUGCUCCAGGUGUUUGGUUGGUGCUCCAGGGGUCUGGUUGGUGCUGCAGGUGUUUGGUUGGUGCUCCAGGGGUCUGGUUGGUGCUCCAGGUGUUUGGCUGGAGCUCCAGGUGUCCGGUUGGUGCUCCAGGUGUUUGGUUGUAGCUCCAGGUAUUUGGUUGGUGCUCCGGGGGUCUGGUUGGUGCUCCAGGUGUUUGGCUGGUGCUCCAGGUGUCCAGUUGGUGCUCCAGGUGUUUGGUUGGAGCUCCAGGUAUCUGUUAGUUCUUCAGGGAUCUGUUAGUGCUCCAGGUAUCUGUUAGUGCUUCAGCUAUCUGUUGGUGCUC